rnacentral:rRNA from 1 species
GCUACGGGAGGCAGCAGUGAGGAAUAUUGGUCAAUGGACGAGAGUCUGAACCAGCCAAGUAGCGUGAAGGAUGACUGCCAUAUGGGUUGUAAACUUCUUUUAUAAAGGAAUAAAACGAGGCACGUGUGCCUUUUUGCAUGUCCUUUAUGAAUAAGGAUCGGCUAACUCCGUGCCAGCAGCCGCGGUAAUACGGAGGAUCCGAGCGUUAUCCGGAUUUAUUGGGUUUAAAGGGAGCGUAGAUGGGUUGUUAAGUCAGUUGUGAAAGUUUGCGGCUCAACCGUAAAAGUGCAAUUGAUACUGGCAGUCUUGAGUACAGUUGAGGUAGGCGGAAUUCGUGGUGUAGCGGUGAAAUGCUUAGAUAUCACGAAGAACCCCGAUUGCGAAGGCAGCUUACUAAACUGUGACUGACAUUGAUGCUCGAAAGUGUGGGUAUCAAACAGGAUUAGAUACCCCUGUAGUC